GAGAGAUGGCUGAGUGGUCGAAGGCGGCGGUCUCGAAAAUCGCUAUAUCCUUACGGGUAUCGAGGGUUCGAAUCCCUCUCUCUCC
rnacentral:tRNA from 1 species